UGAAAUUGCCUCAUCUGCUAGUGGCUGUGUCCAUGUCUAGUCCCGCUUCCAUGGAAACACAUGUCAGAGCUGCAAACACAAAGUAAUGGUUUCCAAAAGCUGCCUUAAAAAUAACCCUGAGCUUACUGUUGUUUUGUUUGUGAUCCUCUCCAUACCAAGACUGUGUCUCAGAUGAAUUGCUGAAUUUUCUGAAGCAGAGAAUAGAGAAAAGAAAGCUCUUUGCCUGCAGAUUCCUCUGGGGUUUCCUGACCCACUGCAGAAGAACACAGCAUGAUUCUGCUUUGGUUUUAGAGAGUCGGAUUGACCUCUAAUAUAAGGAGGGUUCCCAGAUAUACCAGACAGAUCAGAGAAGAUUGGGAGAUUGCUGAUCAGGUCUUCUGGGGACAAGUCAGAUUCACUGUACAUGAAUUACAUAGUAAGUGUAGUGUGUGUGGGGGGGGUGUGGAUGUGUGCAUGUGUAUGUACAUCUCUACCCUUGCCUUAAGUUUUCAACAAUAAUUGGCUUAAUUAGCCAUUGCUGUUUGUCAGCAAGAGGAGAGCCUUCAAAUAUACUUUUACAAAGAAA
rnacentral:lncRNA from 1 species